rnacentral:rRNA from 1 species
UACGUAGGGUGCAAGCGUUGUCCGGAAUUAUUGGGCGUAAAGAGCUCGUAGGCGGUUUGUCACGUCGGCUGUGAAAACUCGGGGCUCAACCCCGAGCCUGCAGUCGAUACGGGCAGACUAGAGUGCUGUAGGGGAGACUGGAAUUCCGGGUGUAGUGGUGAAAUGCGUAGAGAUCCGGAGGAACACCAGAGGCGAAAGCGGCAUCCUGGCUCAGCACUGACGCUCAGACACGACAGCAUGGGGAGCGAACGGG